rnacentral:sRNA from 1 species
CAGGGGAUUGCAGUGGCAAAGCUAGGCUAGGUCUUGGAGGCUGGUGUAAGGCGAUGCGGGUGAAGGCAGGAGGCUGAUGGAAAGACUGGGGGGAAGAAAAGCCGAAAUGGAUUCACGGUGCCUUGGAUGAAGGACGAGAGGGGAACUGCAAGCUCCUUCAACUGGUUCUGUCCGGUGAGAAGUGAUCAAGCUUGGGCUGACAAGAGGCUCAGGGAGCCCUCACGUUCUUUCGCUUUUUUACCUGCCAAUCAAACUGCUACAAGACAACACCCUGAUCUGGCAUGGACAUUCAUUGCAGUCACCUGGAGUCGCGGAAAUGACCAUGAUUGCCUGAACUUUCAUAACUUCUGUGGUUGCAGAAAAGAGAAAACCUGGACUGUGAGGGACAUUUUACUCCCUGACCUUUGGUACAUGAGUCUUGCUGCGACGCCCAGGCUGCUGGAGUGCAAUGGUGUGAUAUCUGCUCACUGCAACCUUUGAUUCCCAGGUUCAAGAGAUUCUCCUG